GAACCUGAUACACCAAGGAUUUUCCUCCAGGAUAUAUUUCUAUCCACUCAAAAUUAAGAUCCAGAUUUGCCAGUGAUGGUCUUUUUAGAGUCCUUUGGCUAUCAAAUCAUGGCACAGCUGAAGAAUGUACCUCAACAACCCUUAAAAGUAAUGCAGAAGGAUUUUUCAAGAAGGUUCCAAAAUGCUGGGAUUACAGACCCGUGAUGGCAAACCUAUGACAUGCACGCCUCAGCUGGCACGGCAGAGUCCUCUCUAUCAGCAUGGCGAUGAAUCCCGCCUGUGGGAAAAUCGCUGUGGUUCCCUGGAAUAAAAGGAGAGAAAAGGAGGACGGCGAUUGGCCUAUCCGUCUGUUUCCCUACAGAAUCCAGUCCUGAGAUUCACCCCCUCCACACACACGCCCCAGUUUAUUUGGAAUCACCCAACCUGGAAGCACAAUCUCAGGUCUACAUGAUGGACCUUAACCCUGGGAGAAGAGAAAGUGACUCAUUCCACUGCGGAGCUGGCCUGGUAGUGAAUGUUUCAUACCCACAACAUGGAGGCCAAAUCUUGAAGGAAGUGGACAGAAUUCUGUGCAGAACAAAUAAUGUAA